UGUGACCUCAAAUCAGGUAGGACUACCCGCUGAACUUAAGCAUAUCAAUAAGCGGAGGAAAAGAAACUAACAAGGAUUCCCCUAGUAACUGCGAGUGAAGCGGGAAAAGCUCAAAUUUAAAAUCUGUCAGUCUUUGGCUGUCCGAGUUGUAAUCUAGAGAAGUGUUAUCCGCGCUGGACCGUGUACAAGUCUCCUGGAAUGGAGCGUCAUAGAGGGUGAGAAUCCCGUCUUUGACACGGACUGCCAGGGCUUUUGUGAUGCGCUCUCAAAGAGUCGAGUUGUUUGGGAAUGCAGCUCAAAAUGGGUGGUAAAUUCCAUCUAAAGCUAAAUAUUGGCGAGAGACCGAUAGCGAACAAGUACCGUGAGGGAAAGAUGAAAAGAACUUUGGAAAGAGAGUU
rnacentral:rRNA from 1 species